rnacentral:rRNA from 1 species
UACGUAGGUGACCAGCGUUGUCCGGAUUUACUGGGCGUAAAGAGCGCGCAGGCGGUCGUUCAAGUCGAGUGUGAAAGCCCCCGGCUCAACUGGGGAGGGUCACUUGAUACUGAUCGACUCGAAGGCAGAAGAGGGAAGCGGAAUUCCCGGUGUAGUGGUGAAAUGCGUAGAUAUCGGGAGGAACACCAGUGGCGAAGGCGGCUUCCUGGCCUGUUCUUGACGCUGAGGCGCGAAAGCUAGGGGAGCAAACGGG